UACAGAGGGGGCAAGCGUUAAUCGGAAUUAUUGGGCGUAAAGGGCGCGUAGGCGGCUUGGCAAGUGGAAGGUGAAAUCCCUCGGCUUAACCGAGGAACUGCCCUCCAAACUGCUUAGCUUGAGACCGGGAGGGGUGAGUGGAAUUCCCAGUGUAGCGGUGAAAUGCGUAGAUAUUGGGAGGAACACCAGUGGCGAAGGCGGCUCACUGGACCGGUACUGACGCUGAUGCGCGAAAGCGUGGGGAGCAAACGGG
rnacentral:rRNA from 1 species